rnacentral:rRNA from 1 species
GGAGCGAAAGCGUGGGGAGCGAACAGGAUUAGAUACCCUGGUAGUCCACGCCGUAAACGGUGGGUACUAGGUGUGGGUUUCCUUCCUUGGGAUCCGUGCCGUAGCUAACGCAUUAAGUACCCCGCCUGGGGAGUACGGCCGCAAGGCUAAAACUCAAAGAAAUUGACGGGGGCCCGCACAAGCGGCGGAGCAUGUGGAUUAAUUUGAUGCAACGCGAAGAACCUUACCUGGGUUUGACAUGCACAGGACGUGCCUAGAGAUAGGUAUUCCCUUGUGGCCUGUGUGCAGGUGGUGCAUGGCUGUCGUCAGCUCGUGUCGUGAGAUGUUGGGUUAAGUCCCGCAACGAGCGCAACCCUCGUCCUAUGUUGCCAGCGGGUUAUGCCGGGGACUCGUAGGAGACUGCCGGGGUCAACUCGGAGGAAGGUGGGGAUGACGUCAAGUCAUCAUGCCCCUUAUGUCCAGGGCUUCACACAUGCUACAAUGGCCGGUACAAAGGGCUGCGAUGCCGUGAGGUGGAGCGAAUCCUUUCAAAGCCGGUCUCAGUUCGGAUCGGGGUCUGCAACUCGACCCCGUGAAGUCGGAGUCGCUAGUAAUCGCAGAUCAGCAACGCUGCGGUGAAUACGUUCCCGGGCCUUGUACACACCGCCCGUCACGUCAUGAAAGUCG